rnacentral:piRNA from 1 species
UCUAGGCUGUGCCUCACCUGC